rnacentral:rRNA from 1 species
UACGAAGGGGGCUAGCGUUGCUCGGAAUUACUGGGCGUAAAGCGCACGUAGGCGGUCUUUUAAGUCGGGGGUGAAAUCCUGGAGCUCAACUCCAGAACUGCCUUCGAUACUGGAAGACUUGAGUCCGGGAGAGGUGAGUGGAACUGCGAGUGUAGAGGUGAAAUUCGUAGAUAUUCGCAAGAACACCAGUGGCGAAGGCGACUUACUGGACACGUAUUGACGCUGAGGUGCGAAAGCGUGGGGAGCAAACAGGG